rnacentral:rRNA from 1 species
GACGAACGCUGGCGGCGUGCUUAACACAUGCAAGUCGAACGGUGAAGCGCCUUCCUUUUUGGUGGGUGUGGAUGAGUGGCGAACGGGUGAGUAACACGUGAGUAACCUGCCCCCUUCUGCUGGAUAACCGCAUGAAAGUGCGGCUAAUACGGGAUAUUCUGGGCCUGUCGCAUGAUGGGUCAGGGAAAGAUAUUGUUUCGGUGGGGGAUGGGCUCGCGGCCUAUCAGCUUGUUGGUGGGGUGAUGGCCUACCAAGGCGGUGACGGGUAGCCGGCCUGAGAGGGUGGGCCGCCCCGCUAGGGCUGCGACGCGGCCCCGCCUCCGGCGGGAGGCAGCAGGGGGGAUUACGGCACGGUGGGCAGAAGCCUGGUGCAGCGACGCCGCGUGGGUGAUGGAGGCCUUCGGGUUGUGAUCCUCUUUCGCCAGUGAAGCAGGCCUGCCUCGUUUGUGGGUGGGUUGACGGUAGCUGGAUAAAAAGCGCCGGCUAACUACGUG